GUGUCAGCAGCCGCGGUAAUACGUAGGGGGCAAGCGUUGUCCGGAAUCAUUGGGCGUAAAGCGCGCGUAGGCGGCCCGGUAAGUCCGCUGUAAAAGUCCAGGGCUCAACCCUGGAAAGCCGGUGGAUACUGUCGGGCUAGAGUCCGGAAGAGGCGAGUGGAAUUCCUGGUGUAGCGGUGGAAUGCGCAGAUAUCAGGAGGAACACCGAUGGCGAAGGCAGCUCGCUGGGACGGUACUGACGCUGAGGCGCGAAAGCGUGGGGAGCGAACAGGAUUAGAUACCCGCGUAGUCC
rnacentral:rRNA from 1 species